AAAUAUUUGAGUUUGAUGAUGGCUCUGAUUGAACGCUAUCCAAGUGCUUGACACAUGCUAAUCGUACGACAUCAUAUUAAAAAUGAUGUAGUGGUGUACAGGUGAGUAAAUAAUAUUUUGGCUACCUUAAAGAAAGGUUAAAUUCCUUAUAUAAGAAAGAAACUAAGGUUUCGCUUUAAGAUGUUAAUAAAUAUUUUCGGUGAAUAUAUAGUAGUAGAAAAGGUAAUAUCUUAACUAGCUAUAAGCCGUAGUCGUGACUGAGAGGUCGAUCGACCACAUUGGGUCUGAAAAAACCCCAAUGCGUAUUAGUACAGCAGUGAGGAAUAUUGGUCAAUGGCCUAACGGCUGAACCAGCAACUUGGAGGAAUAAAUGUAAUGAUAAAUAAUAUCAUUAUUUUUCUAAAUAGAAAAAUGAUUAUGACAAUUUUUUAUUUAUAAGUCUUGACCAAAUUACGUGCCAGCAGUCGCGGUAAUACGUAGAAGACAAGUGUUAGUCAUCUUGAUUAGGUUUAAAGGGUACCUAGACGGUAAAAUAAAUCCGAUAAGGAUAUUUAUUUACUAGAGUUUUAUAGGAGAAAGGGAGAACUUUUGGAGUAAAGAUAUAAUUUUUUAAUACCAAUAGGACUGAUAACGGCGAAGGCAGCUUUCUAUGUAAAAACUGACGUUGAGGGACGAAGGCUUGGGGAGCGAAAAGGAUUAGAUACCCUAAUAGUCCAAGCAGAAAAUUAUGAAUGCCAUAAGUUAGAUUCAACAUUUAACUUAAAAAAUGUAUUAAAUCUUUAAUACAUUUUAUAUAUUUAAAAAUUAAAUACAUAGAUUAGUUUUUAAUAUAAAAGAGUUAAAUGUUAAAAAUAUAUUUAACAUAUAAAUGAAAGUGUAAGCAUUCCACCUUAAGAGUAAGAUGGCAACAUUGAAACUGAAAUCAUUAGACCGUUUCUGAAACCAGUAGUGAAGUAUGUUAUUUAAUUCGAUAAUCCGCGAAAAAUCUUACCACAAUUUGUAUAAUACUAAAUUAUUACAAGCGUUGCACGGCUGUCUGCAGUUAAUGUCGUGAGACAUGGUUAAUUCCUUUAAUUAACGCAAACCCUUACUUUAUUUAUCUGUAUAAAGUUAUUCGCUAAAAAAAUGGUUAGAGAAUAGGGACCAAGACAAGUCAUCAUGACCAUAAUAUUGUGGGCUAUAGACGUGCCACACACGCCUUAACAAAAGGAUGCUAUAUUGUAAAAUGGAGCUAAUCCUUAAAAUAGGAUAUAAUAUGGAUUGUUGUCUGUAACUCGACAACAUGAAUAAGGAAUUACUAGUAAUCGUGAAUCACCACGUCACGGUGAAUUUAUAAUCAGUUAGGUACUAACCACUCGUCAGGCGCUGAAAGAAGUAUGUGCAAUAAGUUUGAUUUGUGUUUAUUUUAAUAAAUAUUAUAAUAUAUUUAUAUAUUUACAUUAAAUUUUCGUAUGUAUGACUUUAAUUGGUGUUAAGUCGUAAUAAGGUUCGUGUAAUGGAAAUUGCACGGGAUAUAUUAAUUUU
rfam:Ajellomyces capsulatus H88 supercont1.17 mitochondrial scaffold, whole genome shotgun sequence.